UACGGAGGAUGCAAGCGUUAUCCGGAAUAAUUGGGCGUAAAGCGUCCGUAGGUGGCUGUUCAAGUCUGCCGUUAAAGACCGGGGCUUAACCCUGGAAAGGCGGUGGAAACUGAACGGCUAGAGUGCAGUAGGGGUAGAGGGAAUUCCCAGUGUAGCGGUGAAAUGCGUAGAGAUUGGGAAGAACACCGGUGGCGAAAGCGCUCUGCUGGACUGCAACUGACACUGAGGGACGAAAGCUAGGGGAGCGAAUGGG
rnacentral:rRNA from 2 species